AUGAAUAUGCCAUUGUUGUUAUUAAUUGUGUUACCAAAUUUUUUCCCCUCAAGGAUUUGUUGCUGCUGCUAUAAUAAUUGGUAUCCUAAUUCUAGUCAAAAUUUUCUGGGACUAUGGAAAAUCAGGGUUGUCUGUAGGAGAUAAUCAUUGAUUUUUGGGCACACAUGUAUAACUUUGACAGUUUUGCUUGUGACGCUAGGAGCCAUUGGCUAUCUGACUUAGCCAAAGAAGAGUUAAGAAGAAAGUGUACUCAUGUACACAGAAUACUUGUAGUUUGUUAGAACGUUCUGGAGAAGUGGAUACAAUAAAUGCAGUAAUUCUCUAUGUUUUACA
rnacentral:lncRNA from 1 species